rfam:Camelus ferus unplaced genomic scaffold scaffold1249, whole genome shotgun sequence.
GAGGGUAUAGCUCAAAUGGUAGAGUGGAUGCUUAGCAUGCAUGAGGUCCUGGGUUCAAUCCCCAGUACCUUCU